rnacentral:rRNA from 1 species
UCAGGCCUAACACAUGCAAGUCGAGCGCUCACCUUCGGGUGGGAGCGGCGCACGGGUGAGUAACACGUGGGAACCUACCUUGAAGUACGGAAUAACUGAGGGAAACCUCAGCUAAUACCGUAUACGCCCUACGGGGGAAAGAUUUAUCGCUUCAAGACGGGCCCGCGUUGGAUUAGCUAGUUGGUGAGGUAAUGGCUCACCAAGGCAACGAUCCAUAGCUGAUUUGAGAGAAUGAUCAGCCACACUGGGACUGAGACACGGCCCAGACUCCUACGGGAGGCAGCAGUGGGGAAUAUUGGACAGGGGGCGCAAGCCUGAUCCAGCCAUGCCGCGUGAGUGAAGAGAGGCCUUCGGGUUGUAAAGCUCUUCAGAUGGACG